AUUGAACGCUAGCGGGAUGCUUUACACAUGCAAGUCGAACGAGUGGCGGACGGGUGAGUAAUAUAUCGGAACGUGCCCAGUAGCGGGGGAUAACUACUCGAAGGGGUGGCUAAUACCGCAUACUAUUGAAGGUGCCCAUAUCGGAUUAGCUAGUUGGGGGGGUAAAGGCUAACCAAGGCAACGAUCCGUAGCUGGUUUGAGAGGACGACCAGCCACACGGGGACUGAGACACGGCCCAGACUCCUACGGGAGGAAGCAGUGGGGAAUUGUGGACAAUGGGGGAAACCCUGAUCCAGCCAUCCCGCGUGUAUGAGAAGGCCUUCGGGUUGUAAAGUACUUUUGGCAGAGAAGCGGUAUCUGCAGAAUAAGCACCGGCUAACUACGUGCCAGCAGCCGCGGUAAUAC
rnacentral:rRNA from 1 species